rnacentral:rRNA from 1 species
UAAGACAGAGGGUGCAAACGUUGUUCGGAAUUACUGGGCGUAAAGCGCGUGUAGGCGGUUCGGAAAGUCGGAUGUGAAAGCCCUGGGCUCAACCCAGGAAGUGCACUCGAAACUCCCGAACUGGAGUCCUGGAGAGGAAGGCGGAAUUCUCGGUGUAGAGGUGAAAUUCGUAGAUAUCGAGAGGAACAUCGGUGGCGAAGGCGGCCUUCUGGACAGCGACUGACGCUGAGACGCGAAAGCGUGGGGAGCAAACAGGAUUAGAUACCCUGGUAGUCCACGCCGUAAACGAUGGGUGCUAGGUGCUGCGGGCUUUGACCCCUGCGGUGCCGUAGCUAACGCAUUAAGCACCCCGCCUGGGGAGUACGGCCGCAAGGCUA